rnacentral:rRNA from 1 species
UUAAUUGAAGAGUUUGAUCAUGGCUCAGAUUGAACGCUGGCGGCAGGCCUAACACAUGCAAGUCGAGCGGCAGCACAGAGGAACUUGUUCCUUGGGUGGCGAGCGGCGGACGGGUGAGUAAUGCCUGGGAAAUUGCCCGGUAGAGGGGGAUAACCAUUGGAAACGAUGGCUAAUACCGCAUAACCUCGCAAGAGCAAAGCAGGGGACCUUCGGGCCUUGCGCUACCGGAUAUGCCCAGGUGGGAUUAGCUAGUUGGUGAGGUAAGGGCUCACCAAGGCGACGAUCCCUAGCUGGUCUGAGAGGAUGAUCAGCCACACUGGAACUGAGACACGGUCCAGACUCCUACGGGAGGCAGCAGUGGGGAAUAUUGCACAA